CAGAGUUGCAACACUCCCAACCAUUGUGAACCUACCUCACCGUUGCUUUCGGGCGGGGUGGCCCGCUAAACACCCGGUGCCGCGCUGGCUCCCCCUUCGGGGGGCCCGGCAAACCCGUCAGAAGACCGAAACUCUUAGUUAUCCUUGGCCUCUCUGAGUAACUUAUACAAUAAGUCA
rnacentral:misc_RNA from 1 species